ensembl:lncRNA
CGUUUUUCCAGCACACCUUCAUUUGAUUUGGGUUCCUUUUUUCUUUAAUCCUUGUCGAUCCAUUAAAUCUGUGGCAUAAAAUGGCCCAGGUGUCUUCCUCAUUUUUGACAGUCGUGUUGUCUGUCUUUUUAUCCUCCAGUACAUUACUAAAUUCCUCCAUCAGUUCCGACGAGGUUUUCAUAAGCGGAGAAAUGUGAACAACUUUAACAAGCCAUGAUCAGAGGGAAACACAUACCCUUUGACCCUAGAGAAGGUUCUCCUUUUCACUUCGGUGGCUUCAGCCAUUCCUCGGCUGGGAUUGCCAGUGGAGCCACAUCCAGUUCUUACACACACAAGAGAAUAAGGCUGCCAGGAUCUUCCCAGAAGCAGAUACAUGCAGCAUUGUUUUAAGGCUACCAAUUCACCCAACCCUACGCAGCCUUCAGGGAGGAAAUGGAGAGUUGAAUUCUACAGUCACCAACAUUAGGUGUCAUUGUCAAAGACUCCAGCCACUCAAGUCAUAGACUGUUCUCUCUGCUACCGCACAGCAAGUGGUACCGGUGCGCCAAGUCUAGGUCAAAGAGGCUUCUGAACAGCUUCUACCCCUAAUCAAACGGCUACCCAGACUAUUUCCAUUGACCCCCCCCUCUCUCUCUUUUAUGCUGCUGCUACUUUGUUAUUAUCUAUGCAUAGUCACUUUAAUAUCACUUUAUCUCUACCUACAUGUAUAUAUUACCUCAACUAACCGGUGCCCCAGUACAUUGACUCUGUACCAGUACCCCCUGUAUAUAGCCUCGCUAUUGUUAUUUUACUGCUGCUCUAAUUAUUAUUGUUAUUUAAUUUUUUUGUAUUUUUCUUAACUACAUUGUUGGUUAAGGGCUUGUAAGUAAGCAUUUCACUCUAAGGUCAACACCUGUUGUAUUCAGCGCAUGUGACAAAUAACAUUUGAUUUAAAGGGAAUUCAUUUAAGGGGAAUUAUCCAAAACGUUUAUUGCAUGACCACCUAGUAAGUUCAGAAUACUGCAGCCAAUGUUAAUUGGUGAUGUGUGCCAAAAUGAUUGAUAUUAUGAAAGUUUCCGACAAGAUUGGCCAUCAGCAAAAAAACAGUUGUGUAGUGAAAGUUUUCAAAAACAACCAACCAGAAUCAAUUGGACAGUAAUACAUAAUGCAGCUUUAAUAUUUUAAUAAAUCUAUGAUUUAUUAGUAGAGUGGGUAGACUGGGCAUUAUGCAAAGUAGUUAAGUCAUGAAUGUCAAGGGGCUAUAAUAUUACAAUAUGUGCAAUGUUACCAUAAAUCUUACAGUAAAUAUGGACAACAUUUAAUUUACAUGUGUUAUGGCAAUAAAAACAGACCCUGUGGUUCAUCGGUGGGCAACUCCAGUCCUCGAGGGCCUGAUUGGUGUCACACUCUUUCUCCAUCCCUACCAAACACAGCUGAUUAAUCAAAUUGCAUUCUAAACUGAAGAUCAUGAUUAGGUGAUUAUUGAAGUCAGUUGUGUUAGCUGGGGCUGUGGCAAAACUGACGCCAAUCAGGCCCUCCGGGACUGGAAUUACCCACACCUGCUGUAGUUGGUACAUAGGUCGUGGUGCAGCAAGUUGAUGAGGGUAGUGGAGAAGCACUGGUGGGACUUUUUGAGUGAAGUGACUAAGGGUGAAAAGGAUAUCAGGGUGCCCAGGAACCUGAAGCUGCUGAUUAUCUCCAUGUCAAUGUACCGUAUAUGAGAGAAUGGUCUUUAAGUCUCACCAUCUACUUUGCUUUGCUUACACUGAGGCUGUUAUCCUAUCAUCAUUAUGUCAGGUCCCACAGCUCCUUCAUGUACUCGUGAUCAGGUGUACCAUGGUAGUGUUGUCAGCAUGUUUAGAUGUUGGGUCCAUUCUGGAGAUACAUAUUCUUGUAAUAUGAAAAAAAAAAAAAUGAAUUUGUUUUUACAGGGUUUACACCCAGAGGCCUGAGUCUGCUAACAAGUUUGUGGGUCAGGAUGGUGUUGAAAGCAGAGCUAUAAAAGAAAACGCACUCUGACAUAUGUAAAAUGCAUAAUUGACAAAUUUGUUGGGACAAUAGGCAUUGGAUAGGAGUUGGUCCAGUGAAUUUUCUACCAUGUGUUACACGAUAUCUAUUGUUCCAGUUUUUUAAAUUGAUAUCGACUGGGCUGUAGUGGAGAUGGUAAGAAGCUUUGAUAUCAUGGGGACCAAACUUCUAACGUCCUUUCUUGGUACACACCCACACAGACACGGCAGUCAUAACAACCAGCGGCACUCCAUCCUAAGGUGGCUGAAGAAGUUUUGCCUGACGUCAAACAUUAAGAGUGUCGGAUUGAAGUGUUUGAAAAAAUGUAAACAACCAUAAGAGCAGAUAACUUUUUUUGUAAUCAUUACUGGCACAGUGAUUUUAAAAUCAAUUCUAAUUCUAGUCGCUUUCAAUUGAUUAAUUGACUCCAAGAACCAUAGAUUGUUCGUAGUUCAUAACAUUAACACAACUGACAUUAAACGUUGCUUGACCGUAGAUUGGGAUACAUGUUUUAAUAACAUUGGAUAUUUGAUUGGACUUAAUGUUGUAUACCUUGCGGUGUUGUGCAUGCCAACCAGGUGAGAAUCACCGGAAUUAACUGUGAUACUUGAUGAAUCAGGUCUUUGCUGCUUUAUCAGCCUCUCCCUUGCCCACUCCAAGCUCCUCUUCAUGGUUCCCUUCUGCAAGACAAUUGUGUGAUAAUAAAGCGGAAAGAAUGGGAAUCCUAUUCCUUCUA